rnacentral:rRNA from 1 species
CCUGAACGCUGGCGGCGUGGCUAAGACAUGCAAGUCGCACGGGACCCGCAAGGGUUCAGUGGCGGACGGGUGAGUAAUGAAUCGCUAACGUACCCCAGAGCUCGGGAUAGCUGUCCGAAAGGACAGGUAAUACCGGGAGACAUCGCCUGAAGGCAUCUUCGGGCGCUCAAAGGAGCAAUCCGCUUUGGGAGCGGGCGAUUUCGUAUCAGCUAGUUGGUGAGGUAAGGCUCACCAAGGCGACGACGCGUAGCCGGACUGAGAGGUUGGCCGGCCACAUCGGGACUGAGACACUG